AUAAACCGUGGCUCAGUUCAGAUCGUAGGCUGCAACCCGCCUACGUGAAGGAGGAAUCGCUAGUAAUCGCAGGUCAGCGUACUGCGGUGAAUACGUUCCCGGGCCUUGUACACACCGCCCGUCACACCAUGGAAGUUGGCCACGCCCGAAGCCGUUACUCCAACCCUCGGGAGGAGGACGUCGAAGGUGGGGCUGAUGACUGGGGUGAAGUCGUAACAAGGUAUCCGUACCGGAAGGUGCGGAUGGAUCACCUCCUAA
rnacentral:rRNA from 1 species